CGUAGCAAUAAUGCACUAGUAAGGUAUGGAUCUGAAGCUUCUUGAGGGUUAACAAAACCUCUCCAUACGCUACUUCGACUCAAUACGUCGUACGGGCGUACAGAACUCUCCAUACAUAUGAACUUGGGUCAUACGGGGAAACCCAACCCCUUGGGAAGAGAGAUAGCGAGCG
rnacentral:ribozyme from 1 species